rnacentral:misc_RNA from 1 species
CUAAGUAACGGAGGCUUCGGCCUUCUCACUACUUAACCCAUGUCUUUUGCGUACUAUUCGUUUCCUUGGUAGGCUUGCCUGCCAUUAGGACACUUUACAACCUUUUGUAAUUGCAGUCAGCGUCAGAAAAACUAUAAUAGUUA